UACGUAGGGUGCGAGCGUUACUCGGAAUUACUGGGCGUAAAGCGUGCGCAGGCGGUUCGUGAUGUCUGAUGUGAAAGCCCCGGGCUCAACCUGGGAAUUGCAUUGGAAACUAGCGGGCUGGAGUGUGGCAGAGGGGGGUGGAAUUCCACGUGUAGCAGUGAAAUGCGUAGAGAUGUGGAGGAACACCGAUGGCGAAGGCAGCCCCCUGGGCUAACACUGACGCUCAUGCACGAAAGCGUGGGGAGCAAACAGG
rnacentral:rRNA from 1 species